UCUGGUAUUGAUUGGUGCUUGCAUCAUGAUUUACAUUUGAGUGAGUGGCGAACUGGUGAGUAACACGUGGGAAACCUGCCCAGAAGCGGGGGAUAACACCUGGAAACAGAUGCUAAUACCGCAUAACAACUUGGACCGCAUGGUCCGAGCUUGAAAGAUGGCUUCGGCUAUCACUUUUGGAUGGUCCCGCGGCGUAUUAGCUAGAUGGUGGGGUAACGGCUCACCAUGGCAAUGAUACGUAGCCGACCUGAGAGGGUAAUCGGCCACAUUGGGACUGAGACACGGCCCAAACUCCUACGGGAGGCAGCAGUAGGGAAUCUUCCACAAUGGACGAAAGUCUGAUGGAGCAACGCCGCGUGAGUGAAGAAGGGUUUCGGCUCGUAAAACUCUGUUGUUAAAGAAGAACAUAUCUGAGAGUAACUGUUCAGGUAUUGACGGUAUUUAACCAGAAAGCCACGGCUAACUACGUGCCAGCAGCCGCGGUAAUACGUAGGUGGCAAGCGUUGUCCGGAUUUAUUGGGCGUAAAGCGAGCG
rnacentral:rRNA from 2 species